UCAUACGAAGUCAGAUUUGGGCGUUCUAUAUAUAUUCGGAAACCUCGUUUCAACUACUACAACAUUAACCAAAGAUAUUAAGUUUAUUUUACACUUAAAUUUUGACGCUUAUUUUUAUUCUUAAUUAAUCAAACCACAUAAUUAAGCAAUUAAGCACAAAACACAUAAUACUCAAAUAAUACAAUCUUAUUAUUUCAAAACGGGUUACAAAGGUUAACCUAGACUAUUAUAUUGCUAAAAAUGGCAAGCCCGGAAACACAGGCGUUACAAUUCUCUCCACCUUAGAAUGAUUCCGUCCCCGGAAUCACACAUCAACAAACAAAUGCGGAUAGCGACUCAACAUGUCACUCUCCGUCUCCCAGGUGAGAUUCGGCCCAUUCGUGUGUUUCCAUCGGACAAGCACUAACCCAACCAUUUUGCGUCGCAACUUCUUAGUCUUUCGGUCAACAAUUGCCUCUGGUUCUUCAAUCAACCUUUUGUUCUCAUCAAUUCUCAAUUCAGAAAUUGGAAUUAUAUCGGGAACUUCUCCCGUGAACUUCCUCAAAUAACACACAUGAAAAGUGUUGUGAAUUCCAUUCAGUUCUUCGGGUAAUUCGAGCUUGUAAGCUUGGUUCCCAAUCCUCUGAAGAACUUUAAACGGUCCAAUAAACCUUGGACUCAACUUUCCCCUUUUACCAAAUCUUAUAAGUCCCUUCCACGGCGAGACUUUAAGCAAAACCGAAUCUCCAACCUCAAAAGUCAUCGGUCUUCGCUUCUUGUCAGCAUAGCUCUUUUGACGAUCUUGAGCUGCUAACAUUCUUUCCCUAAUUAUUUUCAACUUUUCAGCAGUUUGAUGAACCAUCUCCGGUCCCAUAAACUGCUUUUCCCCAGCCUCAAGCCAACAAGACGGCGUACGACACUUCUGUCCAUACAAAGCUUGGUAAGGUGCCAUCUUAAUGCUCGAGUGAAAACUAUUAUUAUAGGAAAAUUCUACCAACGGUAAAUGUUCAUCCCAAUUACCUAGGAAUUCCAAGGUACAUGCUCUCAGCAUAUCUUCAAGUGUUUGUAUUGUUCUUUCACUCUGACCAUCAGUCUGCGGAUGGUAAGCUGUGCUUAAACAUAACUUGGUACCCAUUUCCUCUUGUAGACUUUUCCAAAACCUUGAGGUGAAACGGCUAUCACGAUCCGAUACAAUCGUUAACGGAACACCGUGAAGCCUCACAAUUUCCUUCACGUAAGAAUUCGCAAGCUUUUCCAUAGACCAUUUCUCCCUGGCCGCUAUGAAAUGCGCACUCUUAGUGAAUCGAUCAACGACCACCCAAAUCAUGUCGUGACCAUUCUUUGUUCUGGGCAGUUUAGUGACAAAAUCCAUAGCAAUGUCUUCCCACUUACCCAUAGGCACAGGCAAAGGUUCUAAACUCCCGUACGGUUUCUGAUGUUGUGUCUUGACUCUCGCACAAGUCACACACUCGGCCACAUACUUUGCAACAUCAAGCUUCAUCGUCGGCCACCAGUAGUAGGGUUUCAGGUCCCUAUACAUUUUAGUGCUACCCGGAUGAAUCGAGUACAUGGUCUUGUGAGCUUCUUCCAUCAGAAGAUCUCUAAUUCCUCCUGACUUAGGUACCCAAAUACGAUCUUGGAAUACCUUCAGUCCAUGACCGUUAGUACCAAACACCAACGUUUUACCCAAACGUUCCUCCUUUCGGUCAUUUUUCUCAGAAGCUUCCUCUUGAGCUUUCUUUAUACUUUCCACAAUGGUCGAGACAACUUCAAUUCUCAACGCUCUUGGCCUCUUCCUUUCAAGAUUGACCUUCCGACUGAGAGCAUCAGCAACAACAUUAGCUUUACCGGGGUGGUAAAGUAUCUCGCAGUCGUAGUCUUUAAGUAAUUCUAGCCAGCGUCGUUGCCUCAUAUUCAAUUCUUUCUGAUUAAAGAGGUAUUGGAGACUCUUAUGAUCAGUGAAAAGUUUGCACUUCGUGCCAUAGAGGUAAUGCCUCCAUAUUUUCAGAGCGAAAACUACCGCUGCCAACUCCAAAUCAUGAGUCGGGUAAUUCUUUUCAUGCUCUUUCAGCUGUCGAGACGCAUAUGCUAUCACCUUUUCUCUUUGGGUCAAAACACAACCCAAUCCAACACCAGACGCAUCGCUAUAAACAGCGAAGUCUUCAACUCCAUCGGGUAGAGAAAGUAUCGGUGCCUCGCAUAGCUUCUUCUUUAACUUCUCGAAUGCUUCUUUAUGCUUCUCACUCCAAGCAUAAGUAGCUCCUUUGUGGGUCAAAGCUGUUAAUGGAGUAGCAAUCGAAGAAAAGCCUUGGAUAAACCUUCGGUAAUAUCCGGCUAAUCCUAAAAAGCUUCGAAUCUCCGUGGGACUUUUCGGUUGUUCCCACUUCGUCACAGCUUCGAUCUUCGCUGGAUCAACCAUUAUCCCUUCUUGGUUGACCACGUGACCCAAGAAUUGGACUUCACGAAUCCAAAAAUCACAUUUGGAGAACUUUGCAUACAGCUUCUCCUUCUUCAAAACUUCUAACACUUCUCGCAAGUGUCUGCCAUGCUCCUCCUGGCUUUUCGAGUAAAUCAGAAUGUCGUCUAUGAACACUAUCACGGAUUUAUCAAGGAAAGGAUUACAAACCCUAUUCAUCAAAUCCAUGAACGCUGCUGGAGCAUUGGUUAGUCCAAACGACAUAACCAAGAACUCGUAGUGUCCAUAUCUAGUUCUGAAUGCAGUCUUCUCGAUAUCUUGCUCUCUUACUUUCAGCUGAUGAUAUCCUGACCUAAGAUCGAUCUUCGAGAAAUAGCUCGAACCUUGCAAUUGAUCAAACAGGUCAUCAAUCCUCGGCAACGGAUAUCUAUUCUUUAUUGUUGCCUUGUUCAGCUCUCUGUAAUCGAUGCACAUUCUCAUACUUCCAUCUUUCUUCUUUACAAAUAACACCGGAGCUCCCCAGGGCGAUGAACUAGGUCUAAUGAAACCUUUGUCCAAUAACUCCUGAAGUUGCAUCAUUAGCUCCUUCAUCUCCGUCGGUGCUAAUCGAUAAGGUGCUUUUGCUAUUGGCGUGGUUCCUGGUAACAAGUCUAUUCUGAACUCCACUUGUCUAUCAGGUGGUAAUCCAGGAAGAUCCUCGGGAAAUACUUCCGGAUAAUCACACACCACUGGAAUACUCUGCAUCACCUUCUUUUCUUUCUUAGCAUCAAUCACGAAUGCUAAAUAUGAUGUACAUCCCUUGGUCAAACACUUUCUGGCUUUCAUUAGAGAAAUGAUUCCAGAAUUCACUCUGCGUUUGUCCCCAUACACCAUAAACGAAUCUUUCCCAGGCGGGUUUACUUUAACUAUCUUCUUCUUGCACAAAAUUUCGGCAUCAUUGGCGCUAAGCCAAUCCAUUCCCAAGACGAUGUCGAAACCAUUUAGUUCGAUAGGCAAUAAUUCCUCGAGAAACUUAUUCCCAUUAAGGUCGAUCAAGACGUUUUUCAUACGAUGGCUAACAGGUACAAACUUGCCACUAGCUACUUCGACUAAUAAAGCAUUAUUUAGUCUAUCAACAGGCAAAGCUAGCUUUCUACCAAACUCAUGCGAAAUAAAGGAGUAGUUGGCUCCAGAAUCAAACAAUAUAUGAGCAGGUAAUUCGUUUACGAGAAAGGUACCUGAAGCGACAUCAGCUUCAUCUUUCGCAGCCUCAAGUGUCAUCUGGAAGGCUCUCGCCUUCGGCUUUGGUGGAAUGUUGGGCCUAGCUGCCUCCUUCUUCUUCGGACAGUCUUUCAAAAUAUGCCCCUCUUCAUUACACCCAAAACACAUCCUUUUGUUGUUCGGACAUUCAUUGGCAAAAUGUCCAACCUUUCCACACUUGUAGCAGGUUACAUCCUCGCUACAUUUCCCAAAGUGCUUUUUCCUACACUUAUCACACCACUUCGCUUCGCCUCCUUUUCCUCCAAACUUUUUCGAAUCAAAUUUCGAAAAUUUACUCUUCUUACUGGAACCAGAUGUUCCUUCAAACUUCCUUUUCUCACCAACCUCAACCUUGUCGGUGGUUCUCCCCUUUAUCAUGUUCUCCACAGACUUGGCAGCCCAGAUAGCUGCCUCUAGAGUAAGUGCCUGACGUACCGGCACCUCGUACUCCCAUGGAAGUCCCUUCGCAUACCGAUCCACCUUUGUCAGCUCGUCUGGAACGAUACGCAAGGCAAACUCCAUCUUAUCGGUGAAGUUAUUGGUGUAUUCAUCAACUGACAUGCUACCCUUCGUCAAUGUCAGAAACUUGUUCUCCAACUCCAACAGAUUUUGAGCCGAGCAGAACUUGCGCUUAAACUGCACCAAGAACUCUGCCCAUGACAAUUGCAGUGGCUCGCUAGGGCUUAAGGUCUUCCCUAGAGUGUUCCACCAACGAACGGCUCCACCUCGGAAUUGUCGCACGGCAUAGAUAGUCUGCAACUUGCCUCUACAGCCACAUGUCAUAAAGGCUAACUCCAUUUCGGAGAUCCAAUCCAUAACCCCAAUCGGAUCCUCCUUUCCAUUGAAGGUCGAUGGUUUACAAGUCAAAAAGUCCUUGUACUUGCAUCCCAUUCCAUCAUUCCUUCCAUCAUGGUUAUCUUGCCUAACUAUCGGUGGGUUGGCUGGACCAACAGACCCACUGAAGUUUCCACCUUCCGAGUGCCCUUCAUUCAGUUCAGGCUCUUCCACACGAAUCGACAGUUCUUCACGAUUUUGUUGAAGCAACCGUCUAGUUUCAUCCAUCUGACGAUCCAACAUCGUCUGAAUCAUCAAUUGCACACCAGCCAUGGUUAUUGGCUCAGGUGCUGCUGCUACGACAGGUAUUGGCUCAAUCACUGGUGGUUGAUUCCUGUUUUCGUCAGCAUUUCCAACUCCACUUCUUGUUCUCACCAUUUUGAUCUACACCGAAUAAGGUGAAAUUAGAUCCUCAAUCAUGAUAGAUAUUCAAAUCAUCCUUAUCACUCCGAAACGUUUACAUGCUAGUUCUAAUAUCGUAGACGUACGCUUAGAAUCCUACACACAUAAGGUUUCUAGAUCCGGUCGGCAACAGACCAUAGAUCCGAACAAAUAAUAUCAUAUAUGGCAACAUAUAACAUUUAGCACAUAAAGCAUUUUAGGCAACUUUCCUAAAAUAAACUAGUGCUCGUGUCUAAAACACAACAGACACACAUCUCAAAACUUCACUUAGCAUUCUAAGUUUAAGUCUAGAAAUCCUACAAAUUCCUAGUUCGCUUAAACUAAUGCUCUGAUACCAACUGUGACAUCCCCAAAAUCUCGGCCAGAAAAGACCGAUUUUCAUUUAUGCUUUUAAAUAUUUUCAGAGUAAAUCCUUUUGAUUUGAAAGAGUUGCGGAAUUUGUUCCCAAAAACAAAACAUGAUAAAACAUUGUUUACCGAAGCAUUUCAUAAAAGAAAUGUAUUUUCAUUAUAAUCAAAACUCGGGGUGUCAUGUUCCGAUACAGACCAAUAAGCAUAAACGAAUACAUUACAAGUCAUAUAACAAAUAUAAACAUAUGCAGACUUGUAAACAAAACAACUUGAUGGUUCAUCCAUCUCAUGCCCUUCCGCCACUACCUGUAAUACAAUUUAAAACUGAGUGGGUCAGGCUUGGGAGCCUGGUGAGCAUAUAGGGUUUUCAACCCACAAUAAAUAUCAUAUUUAAUUUUCACCAACCAACAAUAACCCAAUUACCCAUUCCCGUUAUUCUCACUUUAAUGUCCCUAAAACAACUAACAUAAGGGACCUAGUCUAAGAAUAUUUCAUCGGGGCGACAACACAUGCUUCGGGGGUACCUCAGCAAUAUAAGUCAAAUAAGGCAACCAUGAGGGGGAUGGAGUACAGCGAAUGAACACCCAAGUUCAUUAACACCUACAGGUGGCGAACCUGCUAAUGUUUCCACAAGACUGUCUAGAAUAGCCAGUGGUCGUCAUCUAAACUCCGCUAGAUGACUCAAUCAAACAACAACGAGGCCUCUCAUCUGUUUAUUACACACCAACUGUCUACCCAUGUUCUACCCAACAUAUUAGUAGAUAAAAAUAUACAUUUGUAUACAUAGUUUAAAGAAAACCUGUAUAGCAUGCUUUAAUCAACACAUAUAUCACAUAACAGAUGAGGCACACACACACAUAACACAUAUCUCAUAAAGAAAUAAGCAGAUCUAUAAGAUAGAAGAGAGUGAAUACUCAUUCACACAUAACACAACCAAAUAUAUACACAUAGCACGUAUUUUUAUAUAAAAUACUUCGUAUUAUUGUAUUAGAAGAAAUAACUACACACUCACUUGAUCAGAAGAUGAUCGGACAGCACUACGGCUUAUAGAAGUAGUAAUCCACAGCAGAUCUGGAAGAUCUUCUCGAAAAUCGAACUUCUCGCGGGCAGAGCUUCGACUCGGGAACCGCACUUUUCGGGAUCUUCGGGAUCUCGGGACUUGCCUCGGGGCUAGAGUAUGAUACCGGGACUUCGGGGUAGCUUCGGGGGUUUUUGCACAGAGCUUCGACACGAAAACGAGAGGGAAUUGGCAAAAAUACCCGGAACCCUCGCAUCCUAUUUAUAGGAGGCUGGAGCCUCGGAGUACGCGGGGCGUACUGCGUUACGCGGGGCGUACUGCCCAAAACGUCAUUGCUUACGUAUCCGAAGUGCUCGAGUGCGAGUGUCGACAUCCCUCGGAGUACGCGGGGCGUACUCGAGUACGCGGGGCGUACCUCGGAUCAGAUCGGUGACUCCUUCGGAUAAUGCUUCCGAAUUUUGAUUUAAAUAUAAAUACAAAAUGAUUAAUAAACUUCGGAAAUUCAUAACUUCUUCAUACGAACUCCGUUUUCGACGUUCUUUAUAUCCACGCGAAGGUGAGACCACGCUCUACGACUUUCGUUUAGACUCCGUCGGCUAAUUUUGACUUUAUUUUUAUUAAUUAUUUUUAAUAGGCCGGGACAGAAACUUUCGUUAUAAAUUCAUAACUUCUUCGUUUGACGUCCGUUCUCGCCUAACUUUUUAUCGCUUCGAUACCAACAAUGAGAUCUUCGAUUCUCAUUUAGAUUGCUUCGGCUAACAACCGCUCGAUCUCAAUUCGAGUAUUUCAGGCUGUAUACCGCUAAGCCGGAACUUCGAUAAAUCAUAACUUCCUCAUACGAAGUCAGAUUUGGGCGUUCUAUAUAUAUAUUCGGAAACCUCAUUUCGACUACUACAACAUUAACCAAAGAUAUUAAGUUUAUUUUACACUUAAAUUUUGACGCUUAUUUUUAUUCUUAAUUAAUCAGACCACAUAAUUAAGCAAUUAAGCACAAAACACAUAAUACUCAAAUAAUACAUUCUUAUUAUUUCAAAACGGGUUACAAAGGUCAACCUAGACUAUUAUAUUGCUAAA
rnacentral:lncRNA from 1 species